UACGGGGGGGGCAAGCGUUGUUCGGAAUUACUGGGCGUAAAGGGCUCGUAGGCGGCCAUCUAAGUCAGACGUGAAAUCCCUCGGCUUAACCGGGGAACUGCGUCUGAUACUGGAUGGCUUGAAUCCGGGAGAGGGAUGCGGAAUUCCAGGUGUAGCGGUGAAAUGCGUAGAUAUCUGGAGGAACACCGGUGGCGAAGGCGGCAUCCUGGACCGGCAUUGACGCUGAGGAGCGAAAGCCAGGGGAGCAAACGGG
rnacentral:rRNA from 1 species